CCGCGAAUUUAUGGGAGUUUGCAUACGAGCUGAAAUGUGUGACGCGAACGGGACGGUCGGGAGAAAUGUUGCAAUUUUGUAAUAUCAAGGUUUCUUUUUUUGUUUCGUGCUCAGACAUGAUAAUGCUGUUAUACCAGACGGUGUACUAAUUUGAUGGAUAAUAGUAUAUUAGUAGAUCAUCGAUAACGUCGAGAUCGGGAGAAAUGGACGUCAGGGAAGAGGGAAGAUAAUUGCUGAAGGGGUGUUGGACGAGACUGCGACGUCGAUGGACGCGAAAAUGAAUUUUUAAUGAUGGAAAGCUAUUGCUUCGCCGAGUGAUCCGAUUACAAGGGUUCCAGACUCGAGAACAAGGCGUCGAACAUUAAAUUAGUUGAGAUAAAUAAUGGUCUUUCAGGGGGAAGAAAUCCCUACCCAUCGUACCGAGCAGCUGGUUAAAUGAUAACCGACGCUAUCCGAAAGUAGAAUCUGGCAUAGAUUACACCCCAAUGGUCCCCUUGCAGCUGGUAAAAAGAUUCAACAAAAGUUUCAACACCACCCCAAAAAUAGAGCCCGGAAUAGAUUACACCCCAUCGGUCCCUUUGCGUGACUCCUGGGCACGAGACCCUUGAAGGGUUAAUAAGAAGGUAGAACCUCCUGGGUUAGAAUUAAGCCCGACCUCGUCACGCCCGAUCUCUCUAAAAGAUCAGCGAAAUCUCUCAAAAUCGAAAAAGUUCCCUUAAAAAAAAAACUACACGCGAAGUACCCUCCACUGCAGGUACAGAUAAAAAUUCAAACAUACGAACCUUAACCUUUCCCAACGCGGGAGAAAUUCUUAAUUGGCAUUCGGCUCGACCUCGCCACCGUGUCAAUUGUCGGGGAAAUUGAUUUUCCAAAGGGAAAGAGGUUAUCGGAGUUAUUCAGCUCGUGCAUCCAAUGUUAAAACUCGGAACGGAACGUCCUUGUGCCACUUGGGGAAAUUCCACUUGGUAAUGCAUCUUGCGUGUCAAAGGGAUAGGUUUUUGCAUCGGGUGGAGGGCGACGUUGCACCUGCGCCGAUUUUAAAAAUUGAUUCCUCGAAGUCGAUCUCCCUCAAAUUCCGAGUUCCAGCAAACAAUCGCGUUCGCCGGAAUCCGACCUAAUUGACGAUGC